GCUCUGGCAUAUACAAAAAACCUCUUCUAAACCUCUCUGACGUCUCAGCUACAAAACCUCCAACUCAAUAAUACAGAGACACUGAGAAUGGAAACGAAAGUGUUCAUCUGUGUUCUGUGUGCCUGUUUGGUAACACUCUUAGUGCAUAAGACAUCACCAGCCCUAAUAAAUGAAGGCAUAUUUCUAUUAUACAAACCCUCUCAGCAAGGUCCUGAAGAUCCUGUUAAUGGAAGUAAUUACGAGCAGAUGACUAACCAUACCUUAAAUACAAAUACAACCCAAGAAAGUAUUCUGGAAAAGACCAUUGCGCCGAACCUUGCAGAGAACGAUGGGAAACAAAACUACACACAAGUCUCAAACACAACUCAAGGGUUACAAAAUCCCGAAGACAACUAAUGAUAAAAGACAAAAAAAGAACUGGAAAACAACCUGUUAAACAGUCAACCCUGAUGAAAUGGCAUGCUUUAAUGUUUGUUGAACAAAUUACCUUUGUAUUGUACACUGU